rnacentral:rRNA from 1 species
ACGGCGAGUGAAGCGGUCACAGCUUAAUCAAAAAUCCGGCGCCUUUUUUGGCGCUUGGAAUUGUAGUCUUGGCUUCUGAAUGGCGCUGGCUGACGGGUAAUUCGAUGGAAAUCGAGGUCAUAGAGGGUGACAACCCCGUUUCUCUGUCGGCGCGGCGCUGAAUUCAGUUGUCUAUCGAGUAGCGUUCCUUGGGAAUGGAGCGUGAAGUGGGUGGUGAUAUCCAUCUAAAGCUAAAUAUUGGCGAGAGACCGAUAGCGAACAAGUACCGUGAGGGAAAGAUGAAAAGCACUUUGGAGAGAGAGUUAAACAGUAUGCGAAAUCGUUGGAAGCAAGCGAAUCAGUGGGUGUGAGCACGGUUCUGCGUUCCGAGUACUCUGUUGUUCGUGAGAGCCUAGCGGCUUUCCGGGCGGCUUGCCAGCACUCGGUCGUGGGAUGAGGUUUUGGUGCUCGGCUCCGGCCAGCCUUCUGAUCCGACCCGUCUUGAAACACGGACCAAGGAGUCUAAUAUGUGUGCGAGUAUUCGGGUGUCAAACCCCAAUGCGAAGGUAACCCAAAUCGCGUUAGCUCGUUUACGGGCGCAUCGCGGGUAGUGUGUCUUCCCUAACAAG